rnacentral:SRP_RNA from 1 species
GCCGGGUGUGGUGGUGCAUGCCUGUAAUCCCAGCUACACAGGAGGCCGAGACAGGAGAAUCGCUUGAACCUAGGAGACGGAGUGUGCAGUGAGCCGAGAUGGCGCCACUGCACUCCAGCCUGGGUAACAGAGACAGACUCUGUCUUUA